GACGUAGGGCGCGAGCGUUGUCCGGAUUUAUUGGGCGUAAAGAGCUCGUAGGCGGCUUGUUGCGUCGACCGUGAAAACCCGGGGCUCAACUUCGGGCUUGCGGUCGAUACGGGCGGGCUAGAGUUCGGUAGGGGAGACUGGAAUUCCUGGUGUAGCGGUGAAAUGCGCAGAUAUCAGGAGGAACACCUGUGGCGAAAGCGGCGCACUGGACCAUAACUGACGCUGAUGCGCGAAAGCUAGGGGAGCAAACAGG
rnacentral:rRNA from 1 species